rnacentral:rRNA from 1 species
AUUGAACGCUGGCGGCAUGCUUUACACAUGCAAGUCGAACGGUAACAGGGUGCUUGCACCGCUGACGAGUGGCGAACGGGUGAGUAAUGCGUCGGAACGUGCCGAGUAGUGGGGGAUAACGCAGCGAAAGUUGUGCUAAUACCGCAUACGUACUGAGGUAGAAAGUGGGGGACCUUCGGGCCUCACGCUAUUCGAGCGGCCGACGUCUGAUUAGCUAGUAGGUGAGGUAAAGGCUCACCUAGGCGACGAUCAGUAGCGGGUCUGAGAGGAUGAUCCGCCACACUGGGACUGAGACACGGCCCAGACUCCUACGGGAAGCAGCAGUGGGGAAUUUUGGACAAUGGGCGAAAGCCUAAUCCAGCCACGCCGCGUGUCUGAAGAAGGCCUUCGGGUUGUAAAGGACUUUUGUCGGGGAGGAAAUCCCCAGCGUUAAUACCGCUGGGGGAUGACAGUACCUGAAGAAUAAGCACCGGCUAACUACGUGCCAGCCGCCGCGGUAAGAC